CGGUAAUACGUAUGGUGCAAGCGUUAUUCGGAUUUAUUGGGCGUAAAGGGUUCGUAGGUGGUUUAUUAAGUCAGAUGUGAAAUCCAACGGCUCAACCGUUGAACUGCAUUUGAAACUGAUAAACUAGAGUAUUGGAGAGGUAAGUGGAAUUUCAGGUGUAGCGGUGGAAUGCGUAGAUAUCUGAAGGAACACCAAAAGCGAAGGCAGCUUACUGGACAAUUACUGACACUGAGGAACGAAGGCGUGGGUAGCGAAAAGGAUUAGAUACCCUUGUAGUCCACGCAGUAAACGUUGUGUACUAGUUGUGGGGGGAAUUAGCCCCCUCCGUGACUGAGCUAACGCAUUAAGUACACCGCCUGGGGACUACGGUCGCAAGACUAAAACUCAAAGGAAUUGACGGGGACCCGCACAAGCGGUGGAGCAUGUGGCUUAAUUCGAGGCAACGCGAAGAACCUUACCUGGUCUUGACAUAUUUAUGAUCGCUGUAGAAAUACAGUUUCCCUUCGGGGCAUUUAUACAGGUGCUGCAUGGCUGUCGUCAGCUCGUGCUGUGAAGUGUUCGGUUAAGUCCGGCAACGAGCGCAACCCACGUCAUUAUUUGCCAUCAGGUUAUGCUGGGAACUAUAAUGAGACUGCCCGUGUUAAACGGGAGGAAGGCGUGGACGACGUCAAGUCAGUAUGGCCCUUAUGACCAGGGCUGCACACGUGCUACAAUGGUCGGUUCAGAGGGACGCAAUGCCGCGAGGUGGAGCAAAUCCGUAAAGCCGGCCCUAGUUCGGAUUGUAGUCUGCAACUCGACUACAUGAAGUUGGAAUCGCUAGUAAAGGCGUAUCAGCUACGACGCCUUGAAUACGUUCCCGGG
rnacentral:rRNA from 1 species